UACAGAGGUCUCGAGCGUUGUUCGGAAUCACUGGGCGUAAAGGGUGCGUAGGCGGCGGAGUAAGUCGGAUGUGAAAUUUGGAGGCUCAACCUCCAACUUGCAUCUGAUACUGCUUCGCUAGAGACCUGGAGAGGAGUUUGGAAUUCUCGGUGUAGCAGUGAAAUGCGUAGAUUUCGAGAAGAACGCUCGCAGCGAAAGCGAAACUCUGGACAGCGUCUGACGCUGAGGCACGAAGGCUAGGGGAGCAAACGGG
rnacentral:rRNA from 1 species